GACGUAGGGCGCGAGCGUUGUCCGGAUUUAUUGGGCGUAAAGAGCUCGUAGGCGGUGUGUCGCGUCGGCCGUGAAAACCUGCAGCUUAACUGUGGGCUUGCGGUCGAUACGGGCAUCACUGGAGUUCGGCAGGGGAGACUGGAAUUCCUGGUGUAGCGGUGAAAUGCGCAGAUAUCAGGAGGAACACCGGUGGCGAAGGCGGGUCUCUGGGCCGAUACUGACGCUGAGGAGCGAAAGCGUGGGAGCGAACAGG
rnacentral:rRNA from 1 species